UGGGGAAUUUUGGACAAUGGGCGCAAGCCUGAUCCAGCCAUGCCGCGUGCGGGAAGAAGGCCUUCGGGUUGUAAACCGCUUUUGUCAGGGAAGAAAUCUUCUGAGUUAAUACCUCGGGAGGAUGACGGUACCUGAAGAAUAAGCACCGGCUAACUACGUGCCAGCAGCCGCGGUAAUACGUAGGGUGCAAGCGUUAAUCGGAAUUACUGGGCGUAAAGCGUGCGCAGGCGGUUUUGUAAGACAGAGGUGAAAUCCCCGGGCUCAACCUGGGAACUGCCUUUGUGACUGCAAGGCUUGAGUGUGGCAGAGGGGGAUGGAAUUCCGCGUGUAGCAGUGAAAUGCGUAGAUAUGCGGAGGAACACCGAUGGCGAAGGCAAUCCCCUGGGCCUGCACUGACGCUCAUGCACGAAAGCGUGGGGAGCAAACAGGAUUAGAUACCCUGGUAGUCCACGCCCUAAACGAUGUCAACUGGUUGUUGGGAAGGUUCCUUCUCAGUAACGUAGCUAACGCGUGAAGUUGACCGCCUGGGGAGUACGGCCGCAAGGUUGAAACUUAAAUGAAUUGACGGGGUCAUAGCUGUUUCCUG
rnacentral:rRNA from 1 species